UGUUGGUGAGGUAAUGGCUCAUCAAGGCGACGACGGGUAGCCGGCUGAGAGGGCGACCGGCCACACUGGGACUGAGACACGGCCCAGACUCCUACGGGAGGCAGCAGUGGGGAAUAUUGCACAAUGGGCGAAAGCCUGAUGCAGCGACGCCGCGUGAGGGAUGACGGCCUUCGGGUUGUAAACCUCUUCAGCAGGGAAGAAGCGAAAGUGACGGUACCUGCAGAAGAAGCGCCGGCUAACUACGUGCCAGCAGCCGCGGUAAUACGUAGGGCGCGAGCGUUGUCCGGAAUUAUUGGGCGUAAAGAGCUCGUAGGCGGCUUGUCACGUCGGUUGUGAAAGCCCGGGGCUUAACCCCGGGUCUGCAGUCGAUACGGGCAGGCUAGAGUUCGGUAGGGGAGAUCGGAAUUCCUGGUGUAGCGGUGAAAUGCGCAGAUAUCAGGAGGAACACCGGUGGCGAAGGCGGAUCUCUGGGCCGAUACUGACGCUGAGGAGCGAAAGCGUGGGGAGCGAACAGGAUUAGAUACCCUGGUAGUCCACGCCGUAAACGGUGGGCACUAGGUGUGGGCGACAUCCACGUCGU
rnacentral:rRNA from 1 species